rnacentral:rRNA from 1 species
GAUGAACGCUGGCGGCGUGCUUAACACAUGCAAGUCGAACGGAAAGGCUCCUGCUUGCAGGGGUACUCGAUUGGCGAACGGGUGAGUAACACGUGGGUGUUCUGCCCUGCACUUCGGGAUAAGCCUGGGAAACUGGGUCUAAUACCGGAUAGGACGAUGGUUUGGAUGCCAUUGUGGAAAGUUUUUUCGGUGUGGGAUGAGCUCGCGGCCUAUCAGCUUGUUGGUGGGGUAAUGGCCUACCAAGGCGUCGACGGGUAGCCGGCCUGAGAGGGUGUACGGCCACAUUGGGACUGAGAGACGGACCAGACUGCUACGGGAGGCAGCAGUGGGGAAUAUUGCACAAUGGGCGCAAGCCUGAUGCAGAGGCGCCGCGUGGGGGAUGACGGCCUUCGGGUUGUAAACACCUUUCGCUAGGGACGAAGCGCAAGUGACGGUACCUAAAGAAGAAGCACCGGCUAACUACGUG